rnacentral:rRNA from 1 species
UACAGAGGGUGCGAGCGUUAAUCGGAAUUACUGGGCGUAAAGCGCGCGUAGGCGGCUUUGCAAGUCGGGUGUGAAAUCCCUCGGCUUAACCGGGGAACUGCGUCUGAUACUGGAUGGCUUGAGUUUGGGAGAGGGAUGCGGAAUUCCAGGUGUAGCGGUGAAAUGCGUAGAUAUCUGGAGGAACACCGGUGGCGAAGGCGGCAUCCUGGACCAACACUGACACUGAGGAGCGAAAGCCAGGGGAGCAAACGGG